rnacentral:rRNA from 1 species
AAACCAGCACCUCAAGUGGUCAGGAUGAUUAUUGGGCCUAAAGCAUCCGUAGCCUGCUCUGUAAGUUUUCGGUUAAAUCUGUACGCUUAACGUACAGGCCGCCGGGAAUACUGCGGAGCUAGGGAGUGGGAGAGGUAGACGGUACUCGGGAGGAAGUGGUAAAAUGCUUUGAUCUCUCGAUGACCACCUGUGGCGAAGGCGGUCUACCAGAACACGUCCGACGGUGAGGGAUGAAAGCUGGCGGAGCAAACCGGAUUAGAGACCCCAGUAGUCC